GGCUCCAUGGUGUAAGGGUAGCAUAUCUGACUCCAGAUCAGACAGUUGUGUGUUCAAAUCACACUGGGGUCA
rnacentral:tRNA from 1 species